GUCCGAGCCCGACCCGCAACCCGAAACCCGUCUCGCCUCGCCAAGGCAAGGCUUCCUUUCCUCUCCCUUCCCGUCCAAGAUGGAAGCAGAGUACCCCCACCAGCAGGCGGCCCCCUCUUACUCCACGACCGCCACCGUCUUCUGGCCGUACGCGACUCGCCGCAGAAAGAGAGCCGAGGACGGCAGCGACCUCUCGCUGGCGUCGGAUAUGGAUCUCGACGCCGACGCGCAGCGCGCCGCAGAUAAGCUGAAAGCAGUGUCAGAGGAACUUGGACAUGAGAUCCGGGUUUUUUCAAGUGAGAACUUUGCUCUACAACCGAGCAAGCUGCCUAGUGCAGAUCAUGAGGAAGGUGACGACUUUUAUGAGCUUCAGCCUGCUGAUUACUACAACUUGAUUUCAAACAGGAUGGGAGAGCUAUCUAAAAUGCUAAAGACUCGCAAGAUGCGGGAAGCAGAACUUGCUGCUCAGCGAGCAAAGCGAACAAAGGCAGUAAUGAGGGUGCGAUUCCCUGAUGGCUACAUACUUGAGGCUGACUUUCUUCCAUCAGAGAGGAUUCAUAGUCUAGUGGACCUGCUCAUGAAAGUACUUGCUAGACCAGAUCUGCCAUUCUAUCUCUAUACAGUACCUCCAAAGAAGCGAAUACUGGACACAUCACAGGACUUCUAUACAUCUGGUUUUGUUCCUGGAGCUAAUGUUCAUUUUUCUUAUGAUCUGCCCGAAGGUUUGUUGUUAAAUGCAGAUGAUCUAAAAGCAGGACCCUUCCUCCGUGAAGGAAUUCUAAGUUUGGAUGGAUUGUCACUUCUGCUGAAACCUGCUAGUCAACCUGAUGAUUCUAGAAUGAACUCUUCUACUCAUCAAUCUGGUGCAUCUCAAUCUGACCCUGUACCAACAACAAAUAAGAAGCCUGGCAGACCAAAGUGGCUGAAAAGGUAAAAUCCAGAAUAAUCUUCUUGCCAUUGUGGUACAAUAGUUAAAAGGAGAAAAACUUGUCAAGUUUCUGGGGAUAAUUCCAAUUCCUUAUCAAUCUUCUUAAGCAAUGAUACACAGCUCUCAUGCGUAUUUGAGAAGAAUAAUUCCUUAUCGUCUUUUGGUGAUACCACUCCAGGCGUCAGGUGUGUGCUUUCAACACAGAAUCAGUCUGUAAACACUAUUCAUGGUUGAACAAGUUUAAAGUUUGGACAGACUACACUGCUGCAGUACAAGGAUUGGACCCUCUGCCCACUGAAGCUGUUGGGGGCAUUAUAAUUGGGGCCCCACCUUUUUGUAGGUGGGAGACAAGUAGCAUGUAAACUUGAAUGUGUUGCUGACUCAAACAGAACAGUGCUCUGCUCUGGCUAAGCACCUGGCCAUCUUACACAUCGUGUAAGCCCCAUAGUAACUUGAAUGUGUUACACAUCGUGUGCCUGUCUUUGCUAUCCAGUCUUUACACAGCAUUUCAGGAAACAGAAAGUGCUUGAAAGUGUACCAAGUGUGGCCGUGUGGGGUUUCAGUUCGCCCAUGAUAUUGUGGCAAGUCGCUUUCUUGUGAUUGAUGGUGAUGGUGCCCUCACCAGCGACUAAUUUGUCGCCAAAUGGCAUGUGUUUUCUUCUUA